rnacentral:tRNA from 1 species
GGGGUUGUGGCUCGGCGGUGGAGCACUUGCCCAGCUCGCACAAGGCCCUGGGUUCAAUCCCCAGCACCCCG